rnacentral:rRNA from 1 species
GNCUCUGAGAGGAGGGCGCCGGAGAUGGUUACUGAGACACGGACCCAGGCCCUAUGGGGCGCAGCAGGCGAGAAACCUUUGCAAUGUGCGAAAGCACGACAAGGUUAAUCCGAGUGUCUCCUGCUAAAGGAGUCUUUUGUCAGUUGUAGAAUCACUGGUGAAUAAGGGGUGGGCAAGUUCUGGUGUCAGCCGCCGCGGUAAAACCAGCACCUCGAGUGGUCAGGAGGUUUAUUGGGCCUAAAGCAUCCGUAGCCGGUUGCAUAAGUUUUCGGUUAAAUCUAUGCGCUUAACGUAUAGGCCGCCGAAAAUACUGUGCAGCUAGGGAGUGGGAGAGGUACACGGUACUCGAUAGGAAGGGGUAAAAUCCUUUGAUCUAUUGAAGACCACCUGUGGCGAUGGCGGUGUACCAGAACACGUUCGACGGUGAGGGAUGAAAGCUGGGGGAGCAAACCGGAUUAGAUACCCGGGUAGUCCCAGCUGUAAACGAUGCAGACUCGGUGAUGCAUUGGCUUGUGGCCAAUGCAGUGCCGCAGGGAAGCCGUUAAGUCUGCCGCCUGGGAAGUACGUACGCAAGUAUGAACUUAAAGGAAUUGGCGGGGGAGCACCACAAGGGGUGAAGCCUGCGGUUCAAUUGGAGUCAACCC